CCUACGGGGUGCUGCAGUGAGGAAUAUUGGUCAAUGGGCGAGAGCCUGAACCAGCCAAGUCGCGUGAGGGAGUACUGCCCUAUGGGUUGUAAACCUCUUUUGUCGGGGAGCAAAAGCCGGACGUGUCCGGCUGUGAGAGUACCCGAAGAAAAAGCAUCGGCUAACUCCGUGCCAGCAGCCGCGGUAAUACGGAGGAUGCGAGCGUUAUCCGGAUUUAUUGGGUUUAAAGGGUGCGCAGGCGGAUUUUUAAGUCAGCGGUAAAAUCGUGGGGCUCAACCCCAUCCAGCCGUUGAAACUGGGGAUCUAGAGUGUGCGAGAGGUAUGCGGAAUGCGUGGUGUAGCGGUGAAAUGCAUAGAUAUCACGCAGAACCCCGAUUGCGAAGGCAGCAUACCGGUGCACAACUGACGCUCAGGCACGAAAGCGUGGGUAUCGAACAGGAUUAGAUACCCUUGUAGUC
rnacentral:rRNA from 1 species